UCUUUGCCAAGGAAAUCACUUAUCGAACUAAAAGGAUAUCUGGCAACAGUUAGAUCCUAACAUACUGAUACAUGAAAGCCCAUUUUUCUGAUAUCAUUAAUAGCUUUCACGUCAAUUUAUUAGCAUAGAUGGCACUAAUUUUCUCUGAAAGAGAUGUAGAAUAUAUUACUUGGGGGCAGACACGCUCUACACUUGUAGCUGAGACUAAUGAAUCUUGACAACAACCUUUACACAAUCUGGUUGCUUCAACAUAUCAAAUGCCUUGCCUAUAUCUUGUAGUGAAACUUCAUGAGUCAAAAGCUCAUCAAGAUGAAAUUCCUUGUUUUUGCAGUUGUCGAGCAAAUAUGGAAGGUCAGAUUUUAUUGUGAGCCCUCCAAAAAUGGACCCCUUGAGAGUUCUGCCUGUCAGUAAGGGCAAGAAGUCGAUUGUCACAGUUUCAUGUCCAGAACCUAUCACCAUUGCUUUUCCUCUUCCCAUUUUUGUGGAUUGAAGAGCUUCAUUGACUAAGGGUGCAGCGCCACUGCACUCGAAGCAAUAAUCCACUCCUAUUCCACCAGUCAAGUCGUUCACCAGUUGUGAAAUGGGUUCGUCAAAUUCAUCUGGGUUUAUGAAAUGGGUCAUUCCAAAAGCUUGUCCCUUCUCUCUUCUUUUACUAUUCUUAUCUACACCUAUUAUGGUAGCUGCCCCUUGCAUUCGAGAUCCUUCAAUAGCCCCUAACCCAACUGCACCAAGGCCUAAUACAGCCACACUUGAACCUUCUUUAACCUUUGCUUCCUUCCAAGCUGCUCCAAACCCAGUUGAAAACCCACAUGAUAAAAAACUUGCAUAAGGCAGAGGUAUAGUUGGAUCAAUCUUUGCAGUGUACUUGGAAUCAAUAACCAUGUAUUCAGACCAUGUGGAGCAAGUAAACACGUGGUACAACUUAUGGCCUCUAAUGGACAUUCUUGAGGUGUUGUCUGGCAUUAGACCGUUACGUAUUAUGGGGAAUUUUGGGCACAGAUUAGUGUCUUGUGAUGUGCAAUUCUCGCAUUCUUGGCACUGUGCAAUGAAGGUUGGGAUCACAACAUCUCCUUCUUUUAGGCCAUUUACUUUGUCUCCUAUGCUCUCCACCACUCCAACGCCUUCAUGUCCUAGAACUCUAGGGAAAAGUGGAAAUGGAAAUCCAUGGGCACGAGAGAUGUCUGUGUGACAAAUACUAGCAUAUAGCAUCUUGACUCGAACUUCAGAAGAAUUUGGUGGGUCUACUUGUAUCUCUUCCACCUUCAAUUCCUCCCCAACUCCCCAUAUUACUGCAGCUUUGCAUGUUAUGACCUGUGAGGUGUUGCUGCUCCUUGACAUGGCUAUGGAUUGUGUAGGUGAAGCUUUGACGAUGGCGUUUUUUAUGAGUUGAUCGAAGAUGUAGAAAGGACAGGGUUCCUCUCUCCUUACCUCUUUAAUAAUUG
rnacentral:misc_RNA from 1 species